rnacentral:rRNA from 1 species
AUUGAACGCUGGCGGCAUGCUUUACACAUGCAAGUCGAACGGUAGAGGGGGCAACCCCUUGAGAGUGGCGAACGGGUGAGUAAUGCAUCGGAACGUGCCCAGUCGUGGGGGAUAACGCAGCGAAAGCUGUGCUAAUACCGCAUACGAUCUCUGGAUGAAAGCGGGGGACCGAAAGGCCUCGCGCGAUCGGAUCGGCCGAUGUCAGAUUAGGUAGUUGGUGGGGUAAAGGCUCACCAAGCCAACGAUCGGGAGCUGGCCUGAGAGGACGACCAGCCACACUGGGACUGAGGCACGGCCCAGACUCCGACGGGAGGCAGCAGUGGGGAAUUUUGGACAAUGGGAGCAAGCCUGAUCCAGCAAUGCCGCGUGCAGGAAGAAGGCCUUCGGGUUGUAAACUGCUUUUGUACGGAACGAAAAGGUCUGGGUUAAUACCCUGGGCACAUGACGGUACCGUAAGAAUAAGCACCGGCUAACUACAUGCCAGCCGCCGCAGUAA